rnacentral:sRNA from 1 species
GCCAGGCAUGGUGGUGCACACCUGUAAUCCCAGCAGCUUGGGAGGCUGAGGCAGGAGGAUCACAGGUUCAAAGCCAGCCUCAGCAAAAAGCAAGACACUAAGCAACUCAGUAAGAACCUGUCUCUA